rnacentral:rRNA from 1 species
UACGUAGGGUGCAAGCGUUAAUCGGAAUUACUGGGCGUAAAGCGUGCGCAGGCGGUUUUGUAAGUCUGUCGUGAAAUCCCCGGGCUUAACCUGGGAAUGGCGAUGGAGACUGCAAGGCUAGAAUCUGGCAGAGGGGGGUAGAAUUCCACGUGUAGCAGUGAAAUGCGUAGAUAUCAAGAGGAACACCAGUGGCGAAGGCGAGUCCCUGGACAACACCUGACACUGAGGCACGAAAGCCGGGGGAGCAAACAGG